rnacentral:rRNA from 1 species
UACGAAGGGGGCUAGCGUUGCUCGGAAUCACUGGGCGUAAAGGGUGCGUAGGCGGGUCUUUAAGUCAGGGGUGAAAUCCUGGAGCUCAACUCCAGAACUGCCUUUGAUACUGAAGAUCUUGAGUUCGGGAGAGGUGAGUGGAACUGCGAGUGUAGAGGUGAAAUUCGUAGAUAUUCGCAAGAACACCAGUGGCCGAAGGCGGCUCACUGGCC